rnacentral:rRNA from 1 species
CGGGAAUUUUGCGCAAUGGACGAAAGUCUGACGCAGCAACGCCGCGUGAGGGAUGACGGCCUUCGGGUUGUAAACCUCUUUUCUCAGGGACGAUGAUGACGGUACCUGAGGAAGAAGCCACGGCUAACUACGUGCCAGCAGCCGCGGUAAGACGUAGGGCGCGAGCGUUGUCCGGAUUUAUUGGGCGUAAAGAGCUCGUAGGCGGCUUGUCGCGUCGUCUGUGAAAACCCGCGGCUCAACUGUGGGCUUGCAGGCGAUACGGGCAGGCUGGAGUUCGGUAGGGGAGACUGGAAUUCCUGGUGUAGCGGUGAAAUGCGCAGAUAUCAGGAGGAACACCGGUGGCGAAGGCGGGUCUCUGGGCCGAUACUGACGCUGAGGAGCGAAAGCGUGGGGAGCGAAC